ACAACCUUACUUGAACAAGAUCUGUUAUAUAGGCUCGUACUGUUGUCCUUGAGUUCUAAGAAGACAAGAACCUAAGUCUGGUUGAUGAUCCAUGACUGUUGAUUAACGGCUCUGAUGAUACCUCAUCCGAGGGUGUCAUCUGUGAGACUGUGAUAAUAGAAGAUUGUUCUCAGACUGUGUAUCACACCGUCUGGGAUGGUUACACGAUUGUCUGACAGACC